UACGUAGGGGGCGAGCGUUGUCCGGAAUUAUUGGGCGUAAAGAGCUCGUAGGCGGCUUAGUAAGUCGGCGGUGAAAUACCGAGGCUCAACCUCGGCACUGCCGUCGAUACUGCUAUGGCUAGAGUUUGGUAGAGGAGAACGGAAUUCCCGGUGUAGCGGUGGAAUGCGCAGAUAUCGGGAGGAACACCCGUAGCGAAGGCGGCCUGCUGGGCCGAUCCUGACGCUGAGACGCGAAGGCGUGGGGAGCGAACGGG
rnacentral:rRNA from 1 species